UGCUUCAUACGUGUAGCAGCAGCCUCAUCUUUCCUUUCUUCUGAUCCCCUUCGCCUUCUUUCUCUCUAAAACAUAACGUGCGGGGAUUUGAAGGAGAAGUUGGUGGAUUUAGUGUUUUGAGCUGAGAAGAAUUUCAGCAACAAGGAGAAAACCUGGUGGAGAGUGAAUUCUGAGGAUUGGAGAUCUAGCUUGAAAUUGAUCGCUUGAAAUCCUAAUUGAGGAUAAAACUAAUGCGUUGGGAAGCUCGGAUCGGCGUUCCGACGAGCCUACGGCAAGCUAGUGAGGAAAAAUUCCAUUUUAGCUUCGUUUGUCGCGAGCGAGGGAUGUGAUCGUUCAUAAAUAGGGGGAAGUGAUUUUCUCGCAUUUCGGCAUCAUUUAAAAGUGGGUGGUGCUUUCCAAAGUCAUCGAAUGACCUAUUAUAUUUAUGUCACUUUUCUUGAGCAUACAUGUAUAUGUUAGUUGAUAUUCAUGCAUUAUAGGGUUAAGCUUGAUAUGUGAUUAUAUGCAACAUGUGGUUUACUCGUAUGCUUUGGAAGCAAAAUACAUGUGAACAGUGGAUAGUAAACAUAGAACCCUAUAGUGAUAUGAAUAGGUAUGGACUAUUAAAUAGUCAACAAAGUGACAUUAUGAAUAGAUUGUAUGAAUGGCACCCGGUAUUAUGAAUGUCAACAAGGAAAAUGAACUUGUGACAUAGUAGCAUUAGCAUCUAGAUUGGAAAUGCUAAAUAUAGAGUUGUGGCAUUAUGACUAGAUGAACUAGUUAGCAUCUAGAAUUGGAAAUGUUAAAUCUAGCAUAAAGAGCUAGUUAAAAUAUGGCAUUGCCAUUGUAUCCUCUAAGCGAGAAUAGGAUCAUACUCACAAGUAGUCUAAUGCUCGGCGUAAUUAAAGGUCGCUCCUCCUUGGGCGUUGAGGUCCGGAGUUGUCAUCAACUGAGUUGGUAGCGGGUAUGCUCCCCAGUGGACGGUCCCGUCGGGUUGUAGCAGAAUUCUCCUCGACAAAAGGCAUUUGGUUGGUGAGUUGUAGUUAACCAAAGGGGUUAACUAAGUUAAUUCGGUAAUGGUAAUAUGAUAGCAUGCAUGCAUAAACUCCAUAAGUUAUAUAUAUUGUUCUCUUUAGCUUUGUAUAGGCAUUGUAGUAGAUAUAUGAUUAGUUGGUUACUAUCUGUUACCUUUUCUUGUCUAUAUAUGCCUGAGUAAACCUAGUAGAUGAGUCAACGAGGUCGGCAGCCGAAUCCACUGAAAACUUUCAGUAGUUCUCGCCCUACUAACCAUGCAGGUUUUAGCGUGUGCGGGGUGGUCGAGGAUCAUGACAGGAACAACGCUCAAUAGGUAGCGGACAUCCAUUGAGUAUAGAUAUAUACCUUGUAUAUUUCAUCUUAUAGUUGAUGAAAGAAAAGUAUAAUGUAUAAAACUAUUCAUUGAGAGAUGUCAGAUGUAAAUGUUAAAGAAUGUAUGUAUGUGAUAAUAAUGCAAGUUUUGUAUUUGAUUUAAAGUAAUCAAGAUACAAUGUAUGAAUGGUUUAGUUAGUUUA